rnacentral:ncRNA from 1 species
AUUUAGGUUUUUAAAACGUAGUUUUAAAGUUAAAAGGGAAAGCGGUUAAAUGCCGCUGCAGCCCCCGCUACUGUAAUAACAGACAAAUCUCAAAUUAAUCCACUGGUUUUUAUAAAGCUGGGAAGGAUGAGAUGCGGAUGAAGUUUAAGCCAGGAGACCUGCCUAGAUUUUA